rnacentral:lncRNA from 1 species
CAGGUGUCCCGGCACCGGUGCCAGCGCCCGCUGUGCCCCAGGAUGACCAUCCUGCCGCCCACGGAGAAGCUCCAGGUGCUGCUGCGGAAGCUCAGCCAGUUCCACGCCAAGUUCACCAAGGAGUACUCCUAACGCCGGUCCCGGCACCCAGCACCCGUCCCCCCCGUCACCCGCGGGGUCCCACCCCUACCCACUCCAUCCCCCUGCCCCGCGAGGGACCCCCCCCGCCCCGGGCGGUCGGCCAGGUGCCCGGCGCUGUACGUCUCCAAGUGCCUUCAGUCUCCAAGUGCCUUCCCGGUGGUGGUGGUGGGGGGGGAACACAAGGGCACCCCGUGUCCCGGGGCAGGUCCCCCCGGGGCUCGGCACCGCUGCCCGGGCACGGCGGGUAGGGCUGGUUGUCCCCUUGGAACCCCCUAAUAAAAGGGUAGCGAACAGCCGCGUGGGGCUGUGCAUCGCCGGGCUGAGUCCUCCCGCGCUCGUGACGCGGCUCCCACGGUCGGUGCCCCGCAGCCACCGGGGCUGUGUCCCUUCCCCCCCCCCGGGCGAGCGCGAGCACAGGAGCGCGUCCGUCCGUGCGAUGCGAUCAGGUGGUGCUUUAAUUGGGCCGUGCGAUCAGCCCGGCUGCCCGGCGCCGCGUCACGAGAAGUCCCGCACGAAGGCGGCGUGGUACUCGGCCACGGCGCCCAGCGCCCUCCGCAGCGUCUCGGCGGGCGGCAGCAGCGACAGCCUGGGGAGCGCCGCCGUGGGUGGCCGUGCCCCCACCGUGGCUCCGGCACCCCCCCCACCCAACCUUGCCAGCCCCCCCCCAAACCCUCCCAUCAGCCAACCCUGAUGACCCACCUCGACCUCUCGGCCCCCCCAACACCCAUCACCGAACCCAACCAGUCCCACCACCCAACCUCCAAACACCCAUCCCAACCAGCCCUCUAUCACCCACCCACACCAACCAGCCCCUCAACACCCAUCACCGAACCCAACCAGUCCCACCACCCAACCCAACCUCUUGGCCCCAACCAGCCCCCCAACCACCCAUCCCAACCAGCCCUCCAUCACCCACCCACACCAACCAGCCCCUCAACACCUAUCACUGAACCCAACCAGCCCCCCCCAACACCUAUCACCAAACNNNNNNNNNNNNNNNNNNNNNNNNNNNNNN